CCUACGGGCGGCAGCAGUGAGGAAUAUUGGUCAAUGGGCGCUAGCCUGAACCAGCCAAGUCGCGUGAGGGAGUACUGCCCUAUGGGUUGUAAACCUCUUUUGUCGGGGAGCAAAAGCCGGACGUGUCCGGCUGUGAGAGUACCCGAAGAAAAAGCAUCGGCUAACUCCGUGCCAGCAGCCGCGGUAAUACGGAGGAUGCGAGCGUUAUCCGGAUUUAUUGGGGUUAAAGGGUGCGCAGGCGGAUUUUUAAGUCAGCGGUCAAAUCGUGGGGCUCAACCCCAUCCAGCCGUUGAAACUGGGGAUCUAGAGUGUGCGAGAGGUAUGCGGAAUGCGUGGUGUAGCGGUGAAAUGCAUAGAUAUCACGCAGAACCCCGAUUGCGAAGGCAGCAUACCGGUGCACAACUGACGCUCAGGCACGAAAGCGUGGGUAUCGAACAGGAUUAGAUACCCCGGUAGUC
rnacentral:rRNA from 1 species